GACGAACGCUGGCGGCGUGCUUAACACAUGCAAGUCGAACGGGAUUUAGUAAACAGCAACCUCGGUGGAAGAUUACUAAUGAGAGUGGCGAACGGGUGAGUAACGCGUGAGCAACCUGCCUAUGACAGUGGGAUAGCCUCGGGAAACCGGGAUUAAUACCGCAUAAAAUCGUAGAAACACAUGUUUUAACGGUCAAAGAUUUAUCGGUCAUAGAUGGGCUCGCGUCUGAUAGCUAGUUGGUGAGAUAACAGCCCACCAAGGCGACGAUCAGUAGCCGGUCUGAGAGGAUGAACGGCCACAUUGGAACUGAGACACGGUCCAAACUCCUACGGGAGGCAGCAGUGGGGAAUAUUGCACAAUGGGGGAAACCCUGAUGCAGCGACGCCGCGUGAACGAAGAAGGUAUUCGUAUCGUAAAGUUCUGUCCUAUGGGAAGAUAAUGACAGUACCAUAGAAGAAAGCUCCGGCUAAAUACGUG
rnacentral:rRNA from 1 species